rnacentral:rRNA from 1 species
UACGUAGGGUGCAAGCGUUGUCCGGAAUUAUUGGGCGUAAAGAGCUCGUCGGCGGUUUGUCACGUCGGAUGUGAAACCCUGAGGCUCAACCUCAGGCCUGCAUUCGAUACGGGCAGACUAGAAUUCGGCAGGGGAGACUGGAAUUCCUGGUGUAGCGGUGAAAUGCGCAGAUAUCAGGAGGAACACCGGUGGCGAAGGCGGGUCUCUGGGCCGAUAUUGACGCUGAGGAGCGAAAGCGUGGGGAGCGAACAGG